UGAUAUUGACACAAGAAAAAAUAGAUGGUUUCAUGAAGACAAUUCCUGGUUUAUUUUAUACAAGUUUGUGGUGAAAGAUAUAUGGUGAAAUAUGGUAAAAUACAGCCACUCAUACGUUGGGCAGUGCUGACAAGUUGGCAAUACAGUUACUAGGGGAGUUUGUUUUGGUUUCUUUUUGUUAUCUGUUUGCAAUACCCAACACUAAACAUAUGAAGUUGGUUGCAGUAGUUUCAGCUGUGUUGUAUGACAUACCUCUCAAAACAUAACAAAUGGGGAAGCAGAAAAAAGUAUGUUUCAAGAGGACACACCCUGGGAGAGACCAGGGGUGAUCAUACAAACAGAGACGGAAUAAUAUUUGAUAGGCUAAACUGUAUAGAUCAGAAUUGUGCAAACAACAGAAUUAGGAAGGUAUGCACAUGCAGGAAGUGUGAUGUGAAGAAUCUUCAUCAAAAGCCUGGACCAUAUAAUGGAAAUUCACUUGAUUCAAUAUUGCACAGUCAACCUGAAUUGCAGCUGAUGAUCGUGAACUGCUUGUUGACAAAAGGAGAAAAAGAAUUUUCCAAAGUAGAAAGAGGCAUGGGAGGAGAAAAGGAAGCCUGCGUGACACCAUGUACUAAUGAGAAAAAAUAAAACGAGAAAUGCUCAAGGAGAAAGAUAGUCAAAGAGAACAUGAAGGAAGAUGGAAUGAACUUAUAUGUCAAGUAGAACAGAAUAUUUUUCAAGAACCAAGUCCAUCUACCUGGACAUGUGAAAGAGGUCUGCAUCAGUGAAUCGAUAAGCUAUGCUUCUCCAGAAAAUUAAUGUAAACUGUUUAAUAAAGUGUCAGAUCUACAGCUGCUCAGUUAAAUAUAGGAAGAAACUGCUGAUAGCUUUUUUAUGACAGGGGAUAAACCUGAGGAAGAACCUGGCUCAAGGGAAGAAUAUUUUAAAGAAGAAAAAGGUCACAGAGUUUGUGAUGGAUGUUGAAAGAAGAGUAAGACAAAUUUACAGUAAAAGAAACAAGUGGGAUUGCCAAAACAAGGGAAUAUCUGAAUAUGUUGGGAUGAGCAACUACAAUACAGAAGAUCAGUUAACCUUUCUUCAGACUUAGAACAGAUUCCACUACAAAGCCUCACACCUGACAUUUAAACUUGUCUGCAUGAAAGUUCUUAUGGUGCAGAUACCAGCUGGAUCCAAUUCUCAUUCAGCUAAUAGCUGGAAUGUGGAGAAGCUUCAACCAAAUCUCAAAAGCAAACAAAAUAAUCUGAAGGAUAAAGAUACGACGAAAGCAGCAAAUUCCUCUGAAAUCUACUGGGCUGAGGAAUGAUGAAACACAAGACAAAGCUCUUAUCUAUCAGGAAGUUUAAAGCACACCACCUUUUCAUAUGGGACCUAACUGAACGUAUAAUUGAAACAGUGAGACCACCUGGAUACACAACGUUGUCAACUAUAAAAAGGCAUACACAUACAACAUAUGGUUGCUGGUAUAAGCAGGCCAAGCAACUUUUACAGGCACUUCUUGAGUAGCAAGAAAAAAAAGAUUUUAAAGAAAUCUGCCUGAAGUCUAAGCUGUAGAUGGGAGUACAAUAAAGGACUGUACUUGCUGAAUGUAAGCUGCGUGUCAACUACAUCUGAAAGCAAGAGUGAAGAGCUGGCAGAUGUAGGGACAGGUUGUUUAUUGUUCAGAGAGAAUUAAGGCCAGGAAUGGCAACAAGAAGGUAAGCAGUUUGUGAAACCCUAGAGGUUUACUUACUGAGGAAGAGGAGUAGAAUAAAUGAAUUCUACACUAGAAAAAUGCUAGAGCAUUUGCACUGAAGGAAGAUAACAUGCUAGUAUGGAUUACUGUGGUUCAUUUAAAAAAUGAUAGUUAAGCAGUGGGUGAAUGUAAAUCAUCCUUAGAAAAUACCAUAUCACUUUGCAGCAAAGUACCAGGUGUACGUUAAAAGGUAUUUAACCUGUGUAAAAAGUACAAGAUAAUGUCUUUCAAAUUAAGGACAUUUUUCUCUCUUUUUACCUCUCUGUAUCUUGUGGAUAACAAAUAUAAAAGUCAGAUUAUCUUAAUUAAAUUCUACAUUACAGCUUACUCAUUAGUUAUGUCCUCAAUUUAAACUACUGUGGAAAGAGAUGAGAUCUGUGUUAAAAUAUAACAUGCACCUGUGAACAUUAAGGGAGUUCUUGUUUUGUGUUGAUACAUAUCAGAAUAUGUAUAGAAUCAUAGAAUGGCUUGGGUUGGAAAGGACCUCAAGGAUCAUC
ensembl:lncRNA